rnacentral:sRNA from 1 species
GCAGAGCCGUGGCCCUCUUCUUUGUUCUCUGCUGGAUCCAAGAGUCGGAGUCUCCCUAUGUUUCCCAGGCUGGUCUCGAACUCCUGACCUCAAGUGAUCCUCCCACCUCAGCCUCCCAGAGCGCUGGGAUUGAAGACGUGAGCCACCGCACCUGGCCUGAAUUUUCCUCAGAUUCAAAAAAUCCUGAUGAAGGUUUGGCUAAAAUCUUUGGUGAGUUACCCCCAUCCUUGUGGAACCUCAGGCUGGAUUUGAAGAGUUGCAUGCGUGGUCCUCAUUGUCUCCCAGAUGAAAUUCUGCUGCAAGUGUUUUCCAAGGUUCCGUAUGACCCAUCAUUUGAUGAAACAAGAACAGCAGUCAGAUCCAUUACAAAGAGAGACACACAAAAAAACUAUGUGAAAAUGAGCUUAGCCCCUGGUGUUGUGUUGGAACUUCAGAUGCUUGCAGACACUUCGUGAAUGCUCUGUGACACUCAGAAUAGGCUAUUCCCAACAAAAGAGCUUGAACAGUGCUGCAUUUGCAUCAGGUUCAAAUGAGCGAGAGGAACAUUUGGCUAAAAUAUUUGAUGAAAUUCUACUGCAGGUGUUUCCAAAGGUUCCGUAUCAUCCAUCAUUUAACGAAACAACAGCAGUCAGAUCCAUUACAAAGACAGACAUGAGAAAAG